rnacentral:rRNA from 1 species
AUUGAACGCUGGCGGCAGGCCUAACACAUGCAAGUCGAGCGGCAGAAGGGAGCUUGCUACUGGAUUCAGCGGCGGACGGGGGAGUAAUGCCUAGGAAUCUGCGUGGUAGUGGGGGAUAACGUCCGGAAACGGGCGCUAAUACCGCAUACGUGCUGAGGGAGAAAGAGGGGGGUCUUCGGACCUCACGCGCUCAGAUGAGCCUAGGUCGGAUUAGCUAGUUGGUGGGGUAAAGGCCUACCAAGGCGACGAUCCGUAACUGGUCUGAGAGGAUGAGCAGUCACACUGGAACUGAGACACGGCCCAGACUCCUACGGGAGGCAGCAGUGGGGAAUAUUGGACAAUGGGCGAAAGCCUGAUCCAGCAAUGCCGCGUGUGUGAAGAAGGCCUUCGGAUUGUAAAGCACUUUUGGUCGGGAGGAAGGGCAGUAAGUUAAUACCUUGCUGGGUUGACGGUACCAACAGAAUAAGCACCGGCUAACUACGUG